CAGGUCUGGCCACCACCAAGCCGGCUCCCCACAGAAGUGAAUGGGAGAGUACCGCACAUGAGCGGCGCCCUCUCUCAUUCAUUUCUAUGGGGCCAACGGAAAUAGCUUAGCCAGCUCUCUGCUAUUUUCGCCAGCCCUAUAGAAAGUGAAUGGAGGGAGGCUCCGCACUGCGCACCCCCUU